UUUCCUAGCGGAUGUUACUGAGUUACCAAUGAAACAAGGUAUAACAAGAAGGGGACAAAUAACACACUCUGCCCAGAUCAAAAGCCAUGACUCAGCUCUUAAGACACACCUGCCGACCUCAUGACACUGCAGCGAGGGGUAGUGGGUGGUGGGAGUGGAGGUGACCAGGGAGUGGCGGUGAGAUGACAGAGCAAGAGAAUUCUCAUCACACGUGUGAUCAAACAGACUGGCUAUUACAGAGCCAAAUUAUGGAAAGAAAAGUGCGUCCUCUCCAGUGUGCUGCUCAGUCAAUCAAGUUAACACCGAGUGUCAUCAGUAUGUACAGCAGAAAGCAGGAUUUACUUGACUGUGGACACUGGGGAUAUCCUCCAAGCAGAUCAGAAUGUGGAUGGAGGCG